UCGAUUUAUGUCCAAAACUAAAACCGCAUCAGUGAUUUACACGCUGGCGUGGUAUUCAAUUGGACUACAUAAAAGCCCAUGAUUAACUAUUCCUCUUAAGGGCAUUGGCUCGAAGAUGCAAACCUUAAUAAAGUCAAAAUCAACAGCAGAAGCUC
rfam:Drosophila virilis strain TSC#15010-1051.87 Ctg01_16624, whole genome shotgun sequence.